rnacentral:lncRNA from 1 species
CGGUGCGCAUAGGGCGCGAAAACGGGACCCGAAAGGCUAUGUUGGAUCAUGGACUAAAUCCGGCAUUAGCGUGGAUGAAAAGAUGAUGAAAACAUGUUUGAAAACAUGUUUGGAGAGUCCCGGUUCGAUUUGAAAAGAAUCGGAGGUCAAACGAGCGAGAACGAGCGAAAACGGAGUGAAAAAGGAUAAAGGCUGAAAAUGCUGAAAAAUUGGCUAAGUCUGGAAUUCUGGCCUUUCGGGGACCGGUCUCUCACCGCAAGGACCGGUCUCAGAACCCCGAAAAUGCCCAGUUUGGGCUGAUGGCAAUGUUGUAAAUUGGGGGAAGUUGGCUAAAUGUAUGGGGCGUGACAGAUAAGAUGGUAUCAGAGCAUAAAAAGAACAUAAAAAGAACAUAAAAAGAACAUAAAAGAGUUUAAAGAAAAUGGUUUAGCUUGACCUAGGAGACCCUAGGAUAGUAAACCAUAGGAGAUUAAGGCUCGUGAGAGACGAGGACUUGUGACUUGUGGCGAAAGGAUAAUGGAUUGGGUUAUGUUGUAAACCUCUAAAAAGGAGAUUAGAGGUAGAUUCAAGGUGUGGUUUAUUCUCAACCGAGUGUGUUCAUGUUGGGCGUACGACAACAUGAAACCGAGUGAUGAGAAUAGACGCCCUUGUAUAACUUUCGCCCGAUUUGAGUCAAUGUUAAAUGUUUUGUACUCGACCUCGAAGGUUGAGAAUUA